rnacentral:rRNA from 1 species
AGGGAUAUUGGUCAAUGGGGGAAACCCUGAACCAGCAACGCCGCGUGAGGGAAGACGGUUUUCGGAUUGUAAACCUCUGUCCUCUGUGAAGAUGAUGACGGUAGCAGAGGAGGAAGCUCCGGCUAACUACGUGCCAGCAGCCGCGGUAAUACGUAGGUGGCGAGCGUUAUCCGGAAUCAUUGGGCGUAAAGAGGGAGCAGGCGGCCUGGAGGGUCUAUUGUUAAAAGGCAGUGGCUUAACCAUUGCAAGGCGAAGAAACCGGCAGGCUAGAGUUCUAAAGAGGAUCGUGGAAUUCCAUGUGUAGCGGUGAAAUGCGUAGAUAUAUGGAGGAACACCAGUGGCGAAGGCGACGAUCUGGGAAGAAACAGACGCUGAGUCCCGAAAGCGUGGGGAGCAAAUAGG